AUUGAACGCUGGCGGCAUGCCUUACACAUGCAAGUCGAACGGCAGCACGGGUGCUUGCACCUGGUGGCGAGUGGCGCACGGGUGAGUAAUACAUCGGAACAUGUCCUGUAGUGGGGGAUAGCCCGGCGAAAGCCGGAUUAAUACCGCAUACGAUCUACGGAUGAAAGCGGGGGACCUUCGGGCCUCGCGCUAUGGGGUUGGCCGAUGGCUGAUUAGCUAGUUGGUGGGGUAAAGGCCUACCAAGGCGACGAUCAGUAGCUGGUCUGAGAGGACGACCAGCCACACUGGGACUGAGACACGGCCCAGACUCCUACGGGAGGCAGCAGUGGGGAAUUUUGGACAAUGGGCGAAAGCCUGAUCCAGCAAUGCCGCGUGUGUGAAGAAGGCCUUCGGGUUGUAAAGCACUUUUGUCCGGAAAGAAAUGCUUGGCUCUAAUACAGUCGGGGGAUGACGGUACCGGAAGAAUAAGCACCGGCUAACUACGUG
rnacentral:rRNA from 1 species